rnacentral:lncRNA from 1 species
CGUAGCUUCCUUGUCGUGUGGCCUCAGUCCUUCGCCGUCCCUCGCCGUCCUUCGCCAUCGCACGCCACCGCACCCCAUCUCUCGAAAUCUGCAGACAUCUUGAUUUUUCCCACGCUGUCUGUCAGGUCUCCGCCGCCACUCGACGCCAGGGCGCCGGGCCUUGUGGGCUGUGCUGCACCUCGGACGGCUUCGCACCAGCCAGCGCCCUCUCUCUCCUGCAGCACUCUGAUCUGCACCCCCUGAGGGGCUUCCACUGUCCGCGGGGUGAGAAUGCCCCUGGGAGUGUCACAUGACUGCCGCCCCAUGUGUGUGAGAGGCGUCCUCUGGGAGAGCAUGGAUCCUGAGGUCCCAGGAUUGUCAGCUGACCUCUGUCCUGUGUGCCCAGUGGCCCCAGGUGACGUGUCUUCAAGAAGAGGCUGAGCUGCGGUGCUUGUAAGGGUCUCAUUCUGUCACCCAGGCUGGAGUGCAGUGGUGCAAUGAUGGCUCACUGCAGCCUCGACCUGGGCUCAAGUGAUCCUCCACCUCAGCUUCCUGAGUAGCUGGGACCACAGAGUCAUGUGCUGUUCCUGGGGCUUGGAUGAUGUAGGGGAAGCAAGGUGAAAGUGGUAUCCCGUGGUUCCACGUUCUGUCCUGCUGUGGGGCUGUCCCUCACAUGCUUUCAGUGGCUGUUGCAGAGGAAGAGCCUCCGGAAAUCUGCGUGGGUCUCAGCCUUAGAUCCAAGGACAGUCCAAGGAAGUCCUAAGACCAUGGAGUUGGUGAUCUGGGAUCUGGGUUUGCUGAUAUUUCUCACCGUGAAUCUCUUGGUGGUGUUUGUGGGCACGAGAGGGGCAGAGAAUGGAGAGUGAGGCUACCACAUGAAGCGUCACCAGAGCUGCUCCCUGCUGCCUGCUCAGAGCACCCCGGAUCCACUGUUCAAUCUGCACAAGAUUCGGGGUCCAGACAUGGGAGACUUCAGCUGCCUCAGAGGACCGUGGACAGGGAAGGCCAGCCUCGCAUCCCUCUGUCCAUGCCUGGAAUGACUUUAAUAACCAAGAGUUUUAUUUUUGAAUUUGUAGCUGUCGUUCACUUUUUACCCACCCAUUCAAUAAACCUUACAGAAUUGCUCCA